rnacentral:rRNA from 1 species
GACGAACGCUGGCGGCGUGCUUAACACAUGCAAGUCGAACGGAAAGGCCUGCUUUCCCUUGUGGAUUGCGGGUACUCGAGUGGCGAACGGGUGAGUAACACGUGAGUGAUCUGCCCCCAACUUGGGUAUAAGCCUGGGAUACUGGGUCUAAUUCCCGAUAGGACUGCAGGGUGGUGCCUGUGGUGGAAAACGAUUUUCUAGUGGUUGGGGAUGAGCUCGCGGCCUAUCAGCUUGUUGGUGGGGUAAUGGCCUACCAAGGCGGCGACGGGUAGCCGGCCUGGGAGGGUGGACGGCCACAUUGGGACUGAGAUACGGCCCAGACUCCUACGGGAGGCAGCAGUGGGGAAUAUUGCACAAUGGGCGGAAGCCUGAUGCAGCGACGCCGCGUGGGGGAUGACGGCCUUCGGGUUGUAAACUCCUUUCGACCGCGAGGAAGCCACCUGGUUGGAAGGGUGGUGACGGUAGUGGUAGAAGAAGCACCGGCUAACUACGUG